rnacentral:rRNA from 1 species
UACGGAGGGUGCAAGCGUUAUCCGGAUUCACUGGGUUUAAAGGGUGCGUAGGUGGGGCGGUAAGUCAGUGGUGAAAUCUCCGAGCUUAACUUGGAAACUGCCAUUGAUACUAUCACUCUUGAAUAUUGUGGAGGUCAGCGGAAUAUGUCAUGUAGCGGUGAAAAUGCUUAGAUAUGACAUAGAACACCAAUUGCGAAGGCAGCUGGCUACGCAUAUAUUGACACUGAGGCACGAAAAGCGUGGGGGAUCAAACAGG